GACGAACGCUGGCGGCGUGCCUAAUACAUGCAAGUAGAACGCUGAAGGAGGAGCUUGCUUCUCUGGAUGAGUUGCGAACGGGUGAGUAACGCGUAGGUAACCUGCCUGGUAGCGGGGGAUAACUAUUGGAAACGAUAGCUAAUACCGCAUAAGAGUAGAUGUUGCAUGACAUUUGCUUAAAAGGUGCAAUUGCAUCACUACCAGAUGGACCUGCGUUGUAUUAGCUAGUUGGUGGGGUAACGGCUUACCAAGGCGACGAUACAUAGCCGACCUGAGAGGGGGGUCGGCCCCACUGGGACUGAGACACGGCCCAGACUCCUACGGGAGGCAGCAGUAGGGAAUCUUCGGCAAUGGACGGAAGUCUGACCGAGCAACGCCGCGUGAGUGAAGAAGGUUUUCGGAUCGUAAAGCUCUGUUGUAAGAGAAGAACGAGUGUGAGAGUGGAAAGUUCACACUGUGACGGUAUCUUACCAGAAAGGGACGGCUAACUACGUG
rnacentral:rRNA from 1 species